GUGAAGAAAAGUUGAAAAGUACUUUGAAGAGUUAACGAGUACGUGAAACCGUUCAGAGGUAAACCUAAGAAACCCAAAAAAUCGAACGGGGAGAUUCAUCGUCAACGAAACUGGCUUCGCGUCGGUGGGCGAUAACCCCGYGGUGUGUCCUAAGCGGCACGCGCGUGCGGGCACGCUACCGAACGCCGAUGUCCGGUUUUCGUCGUCGUGCACUUCUCUCCUAGUAGAACGUCGCGACUCGCUGUGUGUCGGUCACCGACCCGGGUGCGGUUACUGUCACGUCGCCCGUAAAAACGGCGCGCGGCAAACACCCCCGGUCGCCCGACCAGCUGCCCGGCGGUACACGUACGUAUCAGGCCGCACCAACGGU
rnacentral:rRNA from 1 species